UGUAAUGGCACUGGAAGAAUUCAC
rnacentral:miRNA from 1 species